rnacentral:misc_RNA from 1 species
UCUUCUUCUUCUUCUUCUUCAGAAGCUGAGCUUCGCAAGUACGUGGGCUACACAGCACUUUCCUUUUCUGUGGAGCCGCCACCUGCUAUUCCUUUCCUUUCCCAGAAAAUGACAACCACAAAAAGGCCCAAAUCUUCAGCUGUGCUCCUCUGCCCGAGGAUCUUCACACUGUCUCCAACUGGAGUGGAACCCACGAGGUUCAGACCCGAGCCUUCCACCAACCCGAGGAUCUCCAACAACUGGAGGAGUUGGUGAAGGAAUCUAAUGAGAAGAAGGCCAAGAUCCGUCCUGUGGCGUCUGGGUUGUCUCCUAAUGGGAUUGGGCUGGCACGGCCCGGGAUGGUGAACUUGGCGCUGAUGGAUAACGUUCUGGAGGAGGAUAGGGAGAAGAAGAGGGUGAGGGUUCAAGCUGGGAUUAGAGUUCAGCAGUUGGUUGAUGGGAUUAAAGAGUACGGUAUUACUUUGCAGAAUUUUGCCUCCAUUAGAGAGCAGCAAUUGGUGGCAUAGUCUUUUUAUAUGAAAAAACUGUUGAACUGCUCGUUUGUAAGUUGAUUGAAUGAUUGUGACCCAUUUUGGUUUUGGAGAGAAAAAUUUCAUUUUUGUUUCCUAUAAUUUCGGAAUCCUAUGCUUUGCUAAAUUUUAGAAAUUGAAUGGAUCCCACAUUCAUAGCAUCUGAAUCUUUCCCACGUUGGAUUGUAGUGAGAGAGGUUGCUGAUCCAUGUAUUGAGCGUGAUGCAGCACAAGGGAUAUAUCUGCUUCCUGACCUAAAACUGCCGGUUGGGUCAUUGCAAUAUAUAGUUCUUACUUUUGGGUGAGGAAGCUCAACUAGUUAGCUGAAAGGAUACCAAUAUGUUAAUGUGCAUCAAUUAAUAAUGGGUGUUCCAUCCUAAUGUACUCUAAUGAAUAAGUUUUAUGCCUACUUAUAGCAUUGGGUAGCAGCCAGAGUUUUUUCUCUUAUAAUAUUCGGCAGUUGAAAGAAGUAGAUCUUACCAGGAUUUGAUUAUUUGAGAAUGAAGUGUAAUUUGAAAUGAAAAAAAUUUGCUUAGUUUUUCUUGAGUUCAUUAUGAUUAACUUGUGCCCGGUCUUUGAUAAGCACAGUGCUAGGAAGAAUCUGGAUUGUCACUGAGUUUAUAUCAAAUUGUACUAGGACUUUCAGGCAUGAAUUGGUGCUAAAUAUGCCUUUUUGCUUAUUAGUUUGCAUUUAAACUAUUUGUGUGUUUGCUUCUCUUUAGGUUGGUGCACAUGGUACUGGUGCAAGAUUGCUACUUAUUGAUGAGCAGGUAAUUAGCAUGAAACUAGUCACUCCUUCCAAAGGAACAAUAGAGAUUUCAAAAGAGAAAGAUCCAGAGCUCUUUUAUCUAGCUCGCGUUGGUCUUGGGGGCCUUGGAGUGGUUGCUGAAGUCACCUUACAAUGUGUUGAUAGGCAAGAGCUUGUGGAGCAUACGUUCAUCUUGAACAUGAAGGAAAUCAAGAAAAACCACAAGUAAUCAUUUGCUUAUUAUAUUGGAUCAUGAAGAUGGUUGAAAAUUUGUAUCAAAUUCAAAGAAAUUCGAUGUUUGGGAAGUUGCAGCUUUUAAAUUUCUCCAAAGAUUAAUAAUCGAAAAAUACAGGUGGUUUGGGUCCUCAAUUUCUAUCACAAUCUAUUCGAUGGUGAAAUAUUUGUAGUCAGGAACCUAGGAGAUUGUCCAACUCAGUGUUUGACCAUACGAGUAUCCUUCUAAGUAAAGUUCAUCCCAUAGUAUGUUGUACACUGCCUUUAUCUGUCAUAUGAUUGGCGAUGCAUCAUUAUCUAUAUUUCUUGUGUGAGACUGAUGCAAAAUGCUUUUAUCUCUUCAUAUUUUUUUUUCAAGUAAAAAUGUCUCGCUAUUCGCUCAUUGGAUAGUUGCAAGAAAUAAUCUUUGAGUUUCUAUUUGUUUCUCUGGAUUUAAAAUCCACAUAUUUUUUGUUCUGCAGGAAAUUGCUAUCUGAGAAUAAGCAUGUGAAAUACCUAUAUAUCCCAUACACUGACAGUGUUGUGGUUGUGACAUGCAACCCUGUUUCCAAAUGGAGGGGUCCACCCAAAUUCAAACCAAAAUAUAGCAAAGAUGAGGCUAUACAGCAUGUUCGUGACGUUUACAAGGAGUCCCUCAACAAGUACAGUUACUUGCAGGACUGGAGUAAAUGCAGCUAAAUCUGUUGAUGAUGAUGAAACAGACGUAAAUGAGCUUUCAUUUACAGAGUUAAGAGAUAAACUGCUUGCUCUUGAUCCUCUUAACAAAGACCAUGUCAUAAAGGUUAAUCACGCUGAGGCUGAAUUCUGGAGGAAGUCAGAAGGAUAUAGAGUGGGGUGGAGUGAUGAAAUCCUGGGCUUUGAUUGUGGUGGGCAACAAUGGGUGUCAGAAACUUGUUUUCCUGCUGGUACCUUUUCAAAACCAAGCAUGAAAGACCUUGAAUUUAUAGAAGAGCUGAAGCAACUCAUAGAGAAAGAAGAGAUACCUGCACCUGCUCCUAUAGAGCAGCGUUGGACAUCUCGCAGCGAGAGCUCCAUGAGUCCUGCUUCAAGCUCAUCCAAAGAUGAUAUAUUCUCAUGGGUUGGUAUAAUCAUGUAUCUUCCUACAAUGGAUGCUCGCCAAAGAAAGGAAAUCACAGAAGAAUUCUUCCACUACAGGCAUUUAAGUCAGACACUGUUGUGGGACAAGUAUUCUGCUUUUGAACAUUGGGCCAAGAUUGAGGUUCCUAAGGACACUGAAGAUCUUACAGCUCUGCAAGCAAGGCUAAGAAGGCGUUUUCCCGUGGAUGCAUAUAAUAAGGCACGCAAGGAAUUGGACCCUAACAGAAUCCUUUCUAAUAAUAAGCUGGAAAAGCUGUUCCCAUUAUCAGAAGCCAUUUAAGAAGCAUCUUUUUUUGAUUGGUGGAGAUGAAGACUAUUUUUUC